rnacentral:rRNA from 1 species
GUGGGGAAUAUUGGACAAUGGGCGCAAGCCUGAUCCAGCCAUGCUGCGUGAGUGAUGAAGGCCUUAGGGUUGUAAAGCUCUUUCAGUGGGGACGAUAAUGACGGUACCCACAGAAGAAGCCCCGGCUAACUUCGUGCCAGCAGCCGCGGUAAUACGAAGGGGGCUAGCGUUGUUCGGAUUUCCUGGGCGUAAAGCGCACGUAGGCGGAUCGUUAAGUCGGGGGUGAAAUCCUGGAGCUCAACUCCAGAACUGCCUUCGAUACUGGCGAUCUUGGGUCCGGAAGAGAUGAGUGGAACUCAUAGUGUAGAGGUGGAAUUCGUAGAUAUUAGGAAGAACACCAGUGGCGAAGGCGGCUCACUGGUCCGGUACUGACGCUGAGGUGCGAAAGCGUGGGGAGCAAACAGGAUUAGAUACCCCGGUAGUCC